AUUGAACGCUGGCGGCAGGCCUAACACAUGCAAGUCGAACGAGUCGCGGACGUGUGACUAAUGUCUGAGAAACUGCCUGAUGGAGGGGUAUAACUACUGGAAACUAUCUCUAAUACCGCAUUCCAUCAGCUGUGCCCAGAUGUGAUUAGCUAGUGGUUGGGGUAAGGGCUCACCAAUGACAAGAUCCCUAGCUGGUCUGAGAGGAUGAACAGCCACACUGGAACGGAGACACGGUCCAGACUCCUACGGGAGGAAGCAGUGGGGAAUAUUGCACAAGGGGCGCAAGCCUGAUGCAGCCAUGCCGCGUGUAUGAAGAAGGCCUUCGGGUUGUAAAGUACUUUCAGCGGGGAGGCGUUACCCGAAGAAGAAGCACCGGCUAACUCCGUGCCAGCAGCCGCGGUAAUAG
rnacentral:rRNA from 1 species